CAGUGUUAACACUUCAAACACUCAAUAUCUCCACAAAACACAAAGGACACACAACUGCUUGCCAUUGUCAUCGUUUCUUCUAGAAAAAGAGAUAUGGAUCCCUCCCAAAGUGUGACUUAACACACCUAUGGCAUCAUGUGCGACAUCACAGCCACUGCUGGAGGCUAAUCUCCAACCACUGGGAUCUGAUUUUCAGCAGUAUUGACAGUUCAAGAAUCAAUCUGUGCCAGCUUCCUCUACUGAACCUGAUGCCGCUCUCAUACUACGCAUGUGACUGAGCUGUACGACUCAGUUUCCCUGUGCUGUGUGCCUGCUUCUGAGAGGCUGAUCCGUUCAACAGCAGGCGAUGAGGAGGUUGAAGCUGUCUAAACAUGUGCAGCCAUACUGCAGGUAAUUCAUUGGUCAAGUCAAUAAAUGAACUUUAUCUUUACAUCUAUGAGUGUACUUAACUGUGGAGUAGCUGUUGUUUGUGCUAUUAGACCAUACAUAGAGUGCAUAUUUGGCCAUUAGUUAACACUUCAUAGAGUCUGUUUUGAUAGGGUGUUGUUAAGACUUGUGGGACUCCUCUUGGUCCAGUCGCAGUACUUUUGUCCUGGAUGCUGUAAAAACACUUGCUGUGGUUUGGUAGAUUAACAGAAAGCCCCUUAAUGGAGUAAUUACACAGAGCCAAACAUCUAUUUUUCACCUGUGCUCUGCCAUUACUCUCCGUCCCCCAUCCACUCCAUUGGAAGUCACUUACUCUCCUUACAGUGAGUUAUCAUUGACUGCCAUUUAGGCGUUCUGGAGCAAUUUAUCUUACUGAGGCCGUGGGCCGGCCUCAUUGCAGUGAACAAUCAUUCUCCACCAAUAUAUAAAACAUUCAUAGGGAAAAAAGGAGAAAGAAUACAGCACAAACAGAUAGUGGAGAGUGGCUAAUAGAUACUAGGAAAGAGACAGACAAGAAAAAUAAUGUAGUUGAUUAAAGGGAGAGGUAAAUGCCGGUACCUUGGCGGUACAAAUGUAUAGAGGCUCUGCCAUAGGACAAAUCUGCCUUCCGGAACUCCAGUUCUAUCCGUGAAAUGUGGGGGCUACGGUUGUUGAAUUGAAUAUAAAUAAACACUUGAUACUACAUAGCUACUUUUCUAAUCAUAAAUCACACAUCAGAAUAUAUAUAUAAAAAAAAUAUAUACACUCAUUUACUCUCAUUUUAAUAUAGUUGUACUCUCUUUUGAGAUAGUCACUGAACAUUUUUCAUGAGACUGUAGUAAGGUUUUUGUCAAGAUAUAGACAAGGUUUCAGUAAUCCAGACUUCUUAUAUAAUGGAUGUACUAUUCUAGCCUCUGACAGAUGUAGUGUCUGUUUUCGUUUCUUCUUGACACUUAUUUUAUCGAGUAAAGAUAUUGAUUGGCUCAGGGGUCCACUCCUCUAGUUUUCCAUGUCUAGAUCAGUUGUCGACUUAAAGGUAAGGAGGGGAAGUUGCGGACACCAUGGUCCUGAGAGCACUGGAGAAGGGCUCACUUUGAAUCAACCAGAUAAGACCUGUGUCUACCGUGUUGUACAGUAGUAGUCACAAUAGUACAAGCGGUAUCAUGAUGUGGGUAGGAAUAGGCUAUUUCUCACAUACUGUAUGAAUGGAUAUUGGCUUUCUUUUAAAACACAGACCAUUAAGUUACAUGCUAUUGAUAGCUUUGCUUUGUAAAUGCCUCUGUUAGUUUAGCUUAGUAACGAAGCAUUAUUGCUAAAAUUAUAGACACACAGUGUGCUUUUUGUGGAUUGUAAAACAUACUGUAUAACUUCUUGAAUAUCUUUUUUUUUUUGGAAAGUGUGUAUUGUGGUUAUUCAAGCAGCAUACUGUACUAUUGACUGUCUUUGUUGUGGAGGGGAGUCUCAAAUUCAAUCCAGACCAUCACUUUUACCUUGGACCUGAACGGUAAGAAUUAUUACCUGCCUGAGAAAUCAAUCAACUUAAGACUUCCCAUCGUGUUACUUAGCUUCUUGCCACAUAAGUUGAACUAACUAUAGCUAACAAUCAGACUCAACAUUCAACACAAUAUGUUCUGUGAACGUCUCCGGAAAGUUAUAGCCUAAACGUUUGACAUGGUAGGCAAGAGAUGUCGCAGCUUUAUGCAUAGCCUGUCUGACAUGUGUAUCCCAUUCAACCUGGCUGCAUUCCCCUGAAGGGUUAGUAGUGUGCUUAACUGUUUUGUUAGAUUACUCACUCUCACGGCUUAACACAAUGACAAAUAACCAUUCUUUUUUUCUUGCAGUGAUAAUCCGGACAAUUUAAACAUUUCUUACAAGCAGAAGUGAAACCAUUAAUCCUGUGAGAUUCUUCUGAUAAGUGGUGACUGUGAAGUAAUGGCCAUGUCGCCUAGAAAAAUAAAAAAUAUGUGGACAAUUAAAACAAGAUGGACAUUAUCUGGCAAGUCCCUACUCCCCUUUUCUUUAGCAGUAUUGUAAUUGAUCUGUCCCUUUGUUACUAAACUGAAUAUUGAGUCCUGGCUUUUUGUUCAUUAUCUGUGGAUUUUAACAUGGUGCAUAUUUGUCAAGUUCGAAAAUCAUGUAAAAAAGGAAACCAGUGAUUAUUUUCUUCACAUAUACAAAUGCUGUUCUGAAGAAAAGUCAGUUCUCAUGUCACCUGCUAAGGAUUCUGGCUAUAAUGUGUUGACCUUUACAGGCACCCCUGUUGUUUAGUUAUUUGAAAGUACUUUGACAAGCUGCAGUAUAUGACAGGAGUAUAUUGUAUCUGGAAUUAAGUCCAUUCACAUUUAAUUGUCCUUAAAAACUCUGUCAAACUUUUGCUCUGGGAGUUUGCUUUGCCCUAGAAAAUCAAUGUGACAUGUUUGGGGGGGGGUAAUAAUCUGGUUCCCUGACACCCUAAUUUCUGUGGCUUGGCAAAGAGAUUUAGUGUGUUGAAUUAUAAAAGUUUGACAUUUUCACCCUCAAUUGUGUGAGCAAAAAGUGUAUGGAAUCAUAUAUAAACUUUUUAGUUGAUAUUUUUAAUUGCAAAGUACAUAUAUUAAUUUCCUCCUACGUAUAACAAAAGGUGAAGUGGCAUCACAAUUAUAGUUGAAAUAUGUAGUCCUUCAAAACAUUUGAUAUUAUUUCACUCUGCUAUGUUGACUUUAACAUUAUAUGUGCUUCUGUUACUAACUGUAAUCAGUUGUUGAUAUUGCUGUCCCCGAGUGUUUCAUGUCAUUGACAGUCAGAUAAUUAGGUAUCAUCUAUGCUUCAAUAACAAUAUAAAAAUCCAUUAUAAUGGAUGGUUUUAAUUAAUGCCAUAUUUGAUUAUUAGCUCAUUUAAAUGUUUAUAUUAUGGCACAUAUGCUAAUAUGUGAUAGAAAGAGCAGAAAUGAAUUGUAUUACCCUUAGAGCAUAGCUGUUUUUAAUUGUAUGAUUCCUUAACUGUGUAUGACAGGAAAGGGGUUAUUUCUGUGAUUUAUCCAUCUGAGAUAAUGUUAGCAAGACUUUGAUAUUGCAUUAAGAUUGGGGAGAAGGUCAUAUAUGAAGAUGCCAAA